rnacentral:lncRNA from 1 species
CAUGCUAUUAUGAAGCGUAUAAAAAUUGCAUUAGAAAAGUGAAAUAUCACCUCAGACAUUUUAAGUUUAUAUAUAGUUAUCAUAUAUCAUGCUAUUUUAUGUUAUUUCUAGUAGAGGUGGACAUCUUUUUCUUUUUUUGAGUUUAUACAGUUUGUCUUUUUUUUUCUAGCACGUAUGGAAAUUGCUUUAGAAGGCUCCAAUAAGUAAUCUAUACCUAAUAAUAAAUUGUGAAAAAUUCAGUCCACCAUAUCUUUAUAUGUUCACUAGGCCUUUCAUCGAUGUCCGAGGUGAUAUUUCACUUUCAAUUUUAAUAAUAACAUAAGUGGUAAUUUUGAUAUAAAUUUAAAAUGUCACUUACAUUUGCAUAAAGAUUAUCCACACAUGCUAUUAUGAAGCGUAUAAAAAUUGCAUUAGAAAAGUGAAAUAUCACCUCAGACAUUUUAAGUUUAUAUAUAGUUAUCAUAUAUCAUGCUAUUUUAUGUUAUUUCUAGUAGAGGUGGACAUCUUUUUCUUUUUUUGAGUUUAUACAGUUUGUCUUUUUUUUUUCUAGCACGUAUGGAAAUUGCUUUAGAAGGCUCCAAUAAGUAAUCUAUACCUAAUAAUAAAUUGUGAAAAAUUCAGUCCACCAUAUCUUUAUAUGUUCACUAGGCCUUUCAUCGGUGUCCGUAUAAAUAUAUGACUAUAUAGGACUAUGUUCAUCUUGUUCGGAUCUGGUUUCCUAUUAUUUUUUAACUUAUUUUUUGUUUAUGGUACAAGAACUCCUGGUCCAAUAAGGAUAGGGGGGAAAAGGAAAGUUAUGUGCUAAAUCUAACUCGGAAGCCUAACACGAGUUUAAAUCAGUUUUAAAACGAAACAAGCGAAUAGCUAGACUCAACCAAAAUCCAAAACAGAGCUCGACCAAAAUUAUCUUUAUUCUUAUAAGAAAAUAUAUAGUUACUUCAAAGAAAAAAAAAUUCACGGACACUAGGGGGGAGAAGGGAGCGACUCUUUUAGACCCAAGGUACGCAACAUCUAUGAGCCGGAGAGAAAAAAUAAAGUAAAGAAGAAAAUAAAAAUAAAGAUCCAAUCCAAACUCAAGUAAUCAUGCUGAACUCGGACAGAACACUGGUGAUUGGCAAAAAUAAAUAAAUAAAAUAAAGACGAAAACAAAAAAGAUCCAAUCCAAACUCAGGCAAUCAUGGUGAACUCGGACAGAACACUGGUGAUUGGCCGCAUGAAAAAAAUUGGGUGCCAAAAAUUUUGGCUUUUUAGUAUU